CGGUAAUUCCAGCUCCAAUAGCGUAUACUAAAGUUGUUGCAGUUAAAAAGCUCGUAGUUGGAUUUCUGCGGGGACGGAGCGGCCGGUCGCAACUUGCGACUCGAGCUAGCGCUUUCCCCGCAUCCUGCCGCGAACCGUGCUACCAUUAGCUUGGUGGCGCUGGGGAUCGGCUCGAUUACUUUGAGAAAAAUAGAGUGUUCAAAGCAGGCCACACGCCUUGAAUAAGUUAGCAUGGAAUAAUGACUAAGGACUUCGGUUCUAUUUUGUUGGUGUUCGGGGCUGAAGUAAUGAUUGAUAGGGACAGUUGGGGCGGUCUGUAUUCCAAAGCGAGAGGUGAAAUUCUUAGACCUUCGGAAGACAAACAGCUGCGAAAGCGUUCCGCAAGGAUGUUCCCUUUGAUCAAGAACGAAAGUUGGGGGAUCGAAGACGAUCAGAUACCGUCGUAGUCUCAACUAUAAACUAUACCAGCUAGGGAUCGGUCAACGUUUAAUCAUUCGACUUGAUCGGCACCUUAUGAGAAAUCAAAGCAUCUGGGUUCCGGGGGGAGUAUGGUCGCAAGGCUGAAACUUAAAGGAAUUGACGGAAGGGCACCACCAGCCGUGGAGCCUGUGGCUUAAUUUGACUCAACACGGGAAAACUUACCAGGUCCAGACAUAGUAAGGAUUGGCAGAUUGAUAGCUCUUUCUUGAUUCUGUGGGUGGUGGUGCAUGGCCGUUCUUAGUUGGUGGAGUGAUUUGUCUGGUUAAUUCCGUUAACGAACGAGACCCCAGCCUGCUAAAUAGCGCGGCUGAGCUUUGCUCGGUGCGAGCUUCUUAGAGGGACUAUGAUGCGCGAUAGCACAUGGAAGUUUGGGGCAAUAACAGGUCUGUGAUGCCCUUAGAUGUUCUGGGCCGCACACGGGCUACACUGGCGCCUGCAACGAGCAUAUCAGCUGGCCCGAGAGGGUCUUGGCUAAUCUUUUGAACCGGCGCCGUGCUUGGGAUUGACCAUUGCAAUUGUUGGUCAUGCAACGAGGAAUGCCUUGUAAACGCGAGUCAUCAGCUCGCAUUGAAUACGUCCCUGCCCUUUGUACACACCGCCCGUCGCUCCUACCGAUGAAUGUUCCGAUGAAAUUUUCGGAGAGCGCCAGAGAACGGGGCUCCGCCUUGCAGAUCUGGAGGCUCAAAGUCACUUAAAUCUGAACAUUUCGAGGAAGGAGAAGUCGUAACAAGGUAGCCG
rnacentral:rRNA from 1 species